rnacentral:rRNA from 1 species
AUUGAACGCUGGCGGCAUGCCUUACACAUGCAAGUCGAACGGUAACGGGCCUUCGGGUGCCGACGAGUGGCGAACGGGUGAGUAAUGUAUCGGAACGUACCUUUCAGUGGGGGAUAACGUAGCGAAAGUUACGCUAAUACCGCAUAUUCUGUGCGCAAGAAAGCAGGGGAUCGCAAGACCUUGCGCUGAUGGAGCGGCCGAUAUCAGAUUAGCUAGUUGGUGAGGUAAAGCUCACCAAGGCGACGAUCUGUAGCGGGUCGGAGAGGAUGAUCCGCCACACUGGAGAUGAGACCCGGUCCAGACUCCUACGGGAGGCAGCAGUGGGGAAUUUUGGACAAUGGGGGCAACCCUGAUCCAGCCAUGCCGCGUGAGUGAAGAAGGCCUUCGGGUUGUAAAGCUCUUUCGGCCGGGAAGAAAUCGUAUGGGUUAAUACCCUGUGCGGAUGACGGUACCGGCAUAAGAAGCACCGGCUAACUACGUGCCAGCAGCCGCAGUAACAC